GGGGAAUAUUGGACAAUGGGCGAAAGCCUGAUCCAGCGACGCCGCGUGGGUGAAGAAGGCCUUCGGGUUGUAAAGCCCUUUAAGCCGGGACGAAAAAGCUACACCUAACACGUGUGGCUUUGAAGGUACCCGGUGAAUAAGCCACGGCUAACUACGUCCCAGCAGCCGCGGUAAAACGUAGGGGACGAGCGUUAUCCGGAUUUACUGGGCGUAAAGCGCAUGUAGGUGGCGCGGAAAGUUGGACGUGAAAGCUCCCGGCUUAACUGGGAGAGGUCGUACAAAACUACCGAGAUUGAGGUUGGAAGAGGAGAGCGGAAUUCCCGGUGUAGUGGUGGAAUGCGUAGAUAUCGGGAGGAACACCAGUGGCGAAAGCGGCUCUCUGGUUCAAUACUGACACUGAGAUGCGAAAGCGUGGGGAGCGAA
rnacentral:rRNA from 1 species